rnacentral:tRNA from 1 species
ACUGCAUCUUUGAUGCACUGCUAGUACUAGUACAUCUGAGAAUUCUUAAUUGGAUAGUUGUAAAUAGCCCCAGG